UACGUAGGGUGCAAGCGUUGUCCGGAAUUAUUGGGCGUAAAGAGCUCGUAGGCGGUUUGUCGCGUCUGUUGUGAAAACUGGAGGCUCAACCUCCAGCUUGCAGUGGGUACGGCAGACUAGAGUGCGGUAGGGGAGAUUGGAAUUCCUGGUGUAGCGGUGGAAUGCGCAGAUAUCAGGAGGAACACCGAUGGCGAAGGCAGAUCUCUGGGCCGUAACUGACGCUGAGGAGCGAAAGCGUGGGAGCGAACAGG
rnacentral:rRNA from 1 species